rnacentral:rRNA from 1 species
GGUUAAGCGACUAAGCGUACACGGUGGAUGCCCUGGCAGUCAGAGGCGAUGAAGGACGUGCUAAUCUGCGAUAAGCGCCGGUAAGGUGAUAUGAACCGUUAUAACCGGCGAUUUCCGAAUGGGGAAACCCAGUGUGACUCGUCACACUAUCAUUAACUGAAUCCAUAGGUUAAUGAGGCGAACCGGGGGAACUGAAACAUCUAAGUACCCCGAGGAAAAGAAAUCAACCGAGAUUCCCCCAGUAGCGGCGAGCGAACGGGGAGGAGCCCAGAGCCUGAAUCAGCAUGUGUGUUAGUGGAAGCGUCUGGAAAGGCGCGCGAUACAGGGUGACAGCCCCGUACACAAAAGCGCAUGUGCUGUGAGCUCGAUGAGUAGGGCGGGACACGUGGUAUCCUGUCUGAAUAUGGGGGGACCAUCCUCCAAGGCUAAAUACUCCUGACUGACCGAUAGUGAACCAGUACCGUGAGGGAAAGGCGAAAAGAACCCCGGCGAGGGGAGUGAAAAAGAACCUGAAACCGUGUACGUACAAGCAGUGGGAGCCCCACCACUAAGCCAGUGGUGAACUCCACAUACGCAUCCUUUGCUGAGGAUACGGUUAACGGAGCGAAAGCGACGUUCAACCUCAAAAGAAGCAGAGGGGGCUUAGUGGUGGGGUGAC